AGAGUUUGAUCCUGGCUCAGAAGGAACGCUGGCAGCGUGCAUAACACAUGCAAGUCGAACGAUGAAGCAUUCUUCGGAAUGUGGAAGAGUGGCGAACGGGUGAGGAACACGUAAGAAUCUGCCCCUCGGUCGGGGACAACUCUUGGAAACGAGAGCUAAUACCCGAUACGCUGUGGAGUGAAAGAAUUUCGCCGAGGGAUGAUCUUGCGUCUGAUUAGCUAGUUGGUGUGGUAAUGGCACACCAAGGCGACGAUCAGUAGCUGGUCUGAGAGGAUGAACAGCCACAUUGGAACUGAGACACGGUCCAAACUCCUACGGGAGGCAGCAGUGGGGAAUUUUCCGCAAUGGACGAAAGUCUGACGGAGCGACGCUGCGUGAAGGAUGACGGCCUGCGGGUUGUAAACUUCUUUUCUCGAAGAAGAAGCUCUGACGGUAUUCGAGGAAUAAGCAUCGGCUAACUCCGUGCCAGCAGCCGCGGUAAUACGGAGGAUGCAAGUGUUAUUCGGAAUGAUUGGGCGUAAAGCGUCUGUAGGCUGUAUAGAAAGUCUUUUGUUAAAUGCCUCGGCUCAACCGAGAUCCAGCAAAGGAAACUUCUAUACUUGAGGGAAGUAGAGGUACAGGGAAUUCCCGGUGGAGCGGUGAAAUGCGUAGAUAUCGGGAGGAACACCAAUAUGGCGAAGGCACUGUACUGGGCUUUACCUGACGCUCAGAGACGAAAGCUAAAGGAGUGAUUAGGAUUAGAUACCCUAGUAAUUUUAGCCGUAAACGAUGGAAACUCACUGCCGAGCGAAAUACAACGAGCGGUGGUCAAGCUAACGCGUGAAGUUUCCCGCCUGGGGAUUACGCUUGCAAAAGUGAAACUCAAAGGAAUUGACG
rnacentral:rRNA from 1 species